rnacentral:rRNA from 1 species
CGAUGAAGGACGCGGCAAGCUGCGAUAAUCCCCGGCGAGGAGCACACAUCCUUCGACCCGGGGGUCUCCGAAUGGGCGAACCCAUGCACAGCAGUGUGCAUAUCCCCCCGCUGAACACAUAGGCGGGGGGAGGACAACCCGGGGAACUGAAACAUCUAAGUACCCGGAGGAGAGGAAAUCAAUCUCGAGACUCCCCGAGUAGCGGCGAGCGAAAGGGGACCGAUGGCCAAACCGUCGAGCGGGCAUACCCGGCAGGGGUUCCGC